AAAUUGAAGAGUUUGAUCAUGGCUCAGAUUGAACGCUGGCGGCAGGCCUAACACAUGCAAGUCGAACGGUAACAGGAAGAAGCUUGCUUCUUUGCUGACGAGUGGCGGACGGGUGAGUAAUGUCUGGGAAACUGCCUGAUGGAGGGGGAUAACUACUGGAAACGGUAGCUAAUACCGCAUAACGUCGCAAGACCAAAGAGGGGGACCUUCGGGCCUCUUGCCAUCGGAUGUGCCCAGAUGGGAUUAGCUUGUUGGUGGGGUAACGGCUCACCAAGGCGACGAUCCCUAGCUGGUCUGAGAGGAUGACCAGCCACACUGGAACUGAGACACGGUCCAGACUCCUACGGGAGGCAGCAGUGGGGAAUAUUGCACAAUGGGCGCAAGCCUGAUGCAGCCAUGCCGCGUGUAUGAAGAAGGCCUUCGGGUUGUAAAGUACUUUCAGCGGGGAGGAAGGGAGUAAAGUUAAUACCUUUACUCAUUGACGUUACC
rnacentral:rRNA from 1 species